rnacentral:rRNA from 1 species
GAUGAACGCUAGCGGCAGGCCUAAUACAUGCAAGUCGAACGGUAACAGGGUAGCAAUACUGCUGACGAGUGGCGCACGGGUGAGUAACGCGUAUGCAACCUACCUUUAACUGGAGGAUAACCCCUCGAAAGAGGGACUAAUAUUCCAUAGUAAUCAGAGAAGGCAUCUUUUUUGGUUUAAAGCUCCGGCGGUUAAAGAUGGGCAUGCGUGACAUUAGUUAGUUGGUGAGGUAACGGCUCACCAAGACGAUGAUGUCUAGGGGUUCUGAGAGGAUGAUCCCCCACACUGGUACUGAGACACGGACCAGACUCCUACGGGAGGCAGCAGUAAGGAAUAUUGGGCAAUGGAGGCAACUCUGACCCAGCCAUGCCGCGUGAAGGAUGACGGCCCUAUGGGUUGUAAACUUCUUUUAUACGGGAAUAAACCCGGGUACGUGUACCCGGCUGAAUGUACCGUAAGAAUAAGGAUCGGCUAACUCCGUG